rnacentral:rRNA from 1 species
GAUGAGCGCUGGCGGCGUGCCUAAUACAUGCAAGUCGAGCGAACGGACGAGAAGCUUGCUUCUCUGAUGUUAGCGGCGGACGGGUGAGUAACACGUGGAUAACCUACCUAUAAGACUGGGAUAACUUCGGGAAACCGGAGCUAAUACCGGAUAAUAUUUUGAACCGCAUGGUUCAAAAGUGAAAGACGGUCUUGCUGUCACUUAUAGAUGGAUCCGCGCUGCAUUAGCUAGUUGGUAAGGUACCGGCUUACCAAGGCAACGAUGCAUAGCCGACCUGAGAGGGUGAUCGGCCACACUGGAACUGAGACACGGUCCAGACUCCUACGGGAGGCAGCAGUAGGGAAUCUUCCGCGAUGGGCGAAAGCCUGACGGAGCAACGCCGCGUGAGUGAUGAAGGUCUUCGGAUCGUAAAACUCUGUUAUUAGGGAAGAACAUAUGUGUAAGUAACUGUGCACAUCUUGACGGUACCUAAUCAGAAAGCCACGGCUAACUACGUG